rnacentral:rRNA from 1 species
AGCAGUCGCCACGGGAAUACGAAGGGGGCUAGCGUUGCUCGGAAUGACUGGGCGUAAAGGGCGCGUAGGCGGCUUGUACAGUCAGAUGUGAAAUUCCUGGGCUUAACCUGGGGGCUGCAUUUGAUACGUGCGGGCUAGAAUGUGAAAGAGGGUCGUGGAAUUCCCAGUGUAGAGGUGAAAUUCGUAGAUAUUGGGAAGAACACCGGUGGCGAAGGCGGCGACCUGGUUCAUGAUUGACGCUGAGGCGCGAAAGCGUGGGGAGCAAACAGGAUUAGAGACCCCGGUAGUCCCUGUCUCUUAUAA